AGAGCAUUCCUCGCACUUCAGUUCCGCACGGCACCAGCGGCAGAGGAGAUCAUCUGUGGGAUGCAUCUGGAUCUUCUAAUGGUGUAAGCUGAGGUGCAUCAUUGAGGAAACAACAGGACUUCUGUCGUUCGGCGAUUCCUGUUGAGAUGUCUGCGAGAUCCACUGAGAUGCCCCCCCCCCAUAAUGACACCCACCGCUGCAGAAUGUUGGGAGG